AUAUCAAUAAGCGGAGGAAAAGAAACCAACAGGGAUUGCCUUAGUAACGGCGAGUGAAGCGGCAAAAGCUCAGAUUUGAAAUCUGGUGUCAUAGUGGCAUCUGAGUUGUAAUCUGUAGAGGAGUAUUCGAGUGUGGCUUUGGCUAAGUUCCUUGGAACAGGGCGUCAAAGAGGGUGAGAACCCCGUUUGCGGCCUCUGUCCUAUGCUCAUGUGAAUCUCCUUCAACGAGUCGAGUUGUUUGGGAAUGCAGCUCUAAAUGGGUGGUAAAUUCCAUCUAAAGCUAAAUACUGGCAAGAGACCGAUAGCGCACAAGUAGAGUGAUCGAAAGAUGAAAAGAUCUCUGAACAGAGAGUUAAAUAGUACGUGAAAUUGUUGAAAGGGAAGCACUUGCUACCAGACACACUUGCAAUUAAUCAGCCUCCAUUUUUGGUGGUGCACUUGGUUGUAGGUGGGUCAGCAUCAGUUAUAGCGGCAGGAAAAAGACUGUGGGAAUGUGGCUUCUUUUGGGAAGUGUUAUAGCCCAAAGUGUAAUGCUGCCUGCUGUGACUGAGGACCGCGCUUCGGUGAGGAUGCUGGCAUAAUGGUUGUAAGUGA
rnacentral:rRNA from 1 species